UUAGUGCAUAGCUCAGCUUGAUAGAGCAUCCCGAUUUCCAAUCGGGACGGUCGAAGGUUCGAAUCCUUCUGCGUUCAU
rnacentral:tRNA from 1 species